rnacentral:rRNA from 1 species
GAUGAACGCUGGCGGCGUGCCUAAUACAUGCAAGUCGAGCGAACAGAUGAGGAGCUUGCUCCUCUGACGUUAGCGGCGGACGGGUGAGUAACACGUGGAUAACCUACCUAUAAGACUGGGAUAACUUCGGGAAACCGGAGCUAAUACCGGAUAAUAUAUUGAACCGCAUGGUUCAAUAGUGAAAGACGGUUUUGCUGUCACUUAUAGAUGGAUCCGCGCCGCAUUAGCUAGUUGGUAAGGUAACGGCUUACCAAGGCAACGAUGCGUAGCCGACCUGAGAGGGUGAUCGGCCACACUGGAACUUCGACCCGGUCCAGACUCCUACGGGAGGCAGCAGUAGGGAAUCUUCCGCAAUGGGCGAAAGCCUGACGGAGCAACGCCGCGUGAGUGAUGAAGGUCUUCGGAUCGUAAAACUCUGUUAUUAGGGAAGAACAAAUGUGUAAGUAACUAUGCACGUCUUGACGGUACCUAAUCAGAAAGCCACGGCUAACUACGUG